AACGAACGCUGGCGGCAGGCUUAACACAUGCAAGUCGAACGCUCCGCAAGGAGAGUGGCAGACGGGUGAGUAACACGUGGGAACGUACCCUUUACUACGGAACAACUCCGGGAAACUGGAGCUAAUACCGUAUGUGCCCUUUGGGGGAAAGAUUUAUCGGUAAAGGAUCGGCCCGCGUUGGAUUAGCUAGUUGGUGGGGUAAAGCCCUACCAAGGCGACGAUCCAUAGCUGAUCUGAGAGGAUGAUCAGACACAUCGGGAAUGGGACACGGCCCAAACUCUUACGGGAGGGAGAAGUGGGGAAUAUUGGAUAAUGGGCGAAAGACUGAUCCAGCCAUGCCGCGUGUGAGAUGAAGGACUUAGGGUUGUAAAGCACUUUCACCGGAGAAGAUAAUGACGGUAUCCGGAGAAGAAGCCCUGGCUAACUUCGUGCCAGCCGCCGCGGUAA
rnacentral:rRNA from 1 species